CUUCAAACGCAUCACAUGUAGGUGUGUGUGUAUCAGUUGGUCCAAUGCAGUGAGCACACUGCUUAGGCGUGGCUGUUGCUUCUACAUGUUUUGAUUAGGAUUGCAAACACCUGAUGUGAUCUGACUGCUAUUCACUGCUUUGAGAACAUCUGAGAAAAUCUAAGCAGACACAGGAUGAAUAAUAAAAACAAAAUGAUCUUAAGCCAGAUUAACGUGUAUGGGAAUGCAAAUGGGAAUGGAUCCUACAGAGGC
rnacentral:lncRNA from 1 species